rnacentral:ribozyme from 1 species
UUUUCGUAAUUGUAUUUACAAAAUAUUAUUUAAAGAAAAGGAAAAAAAGAGCGAUUGAGGUCAUUGUUUUUUUUUCGUGGAUUUAGGCAUUUGUAGCU